rnacentral:rRNA from 1 species
UACGGAGGGUGCAAACGUUGCUCGGAAUCAUUGGGCGUAAAGCGCACGUAGGCGGCCUGUUAAGUCGGACGUGAAAUCCCCAGGCUCAACCUGGGAACUGCGUCCGAUACUGGAUGGCUUGAAUCCGGGAGAGGGAUGCAGAAUUCCAGGUGUAGCGGUGAAAUGCGUAGAUAUCUGGAGGAAUACCGGUGGCGAAGGCGGCAUCCUGGACCGGCAUUGACGCUGAGGAGCGAAAGCCAGGGGAGCAAACGGG